AUUGAACGCUGGCGGCAGGCCUAACACAUGCAAGUCGAGCGGAGCGGCGGACGGGUGAGUAAUGCCUAGGAAUCUGCCUGGUAGUGGGGGAUAACGUCCGGAAACGGGCGCUAAUACCGCAUAUUUUAGAUGGGGCCUAGGUCGGAUUGGCUAGUGGGGGGGUUAAAGGCCUCCCAAGGCGACGAUCCGUAACGGGUCUGAGAGGAUGAUCAGUCACACUGGAACUGAGACACGGUCCAGACUCCUACGGGAGGCAGCAGUGGGGAAUAUUGGACAAUGGGCGAAAGCCUGAUCCAGCCAUGCCGCGUGUGUGAAGAAGGUCUUCGGAUUGUAAAGCACUUUAAGUUGGGAGGCGUUACCAACAGAAUAAGCACCGGCUAACUUCGUGCCAGCAGCCGCGGUAAUUC
rnacentral:rRNA from 1 species